rnacentral:rRNA from 1 species
GAUGAACGCUGGCGGCGUGCCUAAUACAUGCGAGUCGAGCGAACGGACGAGAAGCUUGCUUUUCUGAUGUUAGCGGCGGACGGGUGAGUAACACGUGGAUAACCUACCUAUAAGACUGGGAUAACUUCGGGAAACCGGAGCUAAUACCGGAUAAUAUUUUGAACCGCAUGGUUCAAAAGUGAAAGACGGUCUUGCUGUCACUUAUAGAUGGAUCCGCGCUGCAUUAGCUAGUUGGUAAGGUAACGGCUUACCAAGGCAACGAUGCAUAGCCGACCUGAGAGGGGGAUCGGCCAGACUGGAACGGAGACGCGGUCCAGACUCCGACGGGAGGCAGCAGUAGGGAAUCUUCCGCAAUGGGCGAAAGCCUGACGGAGCAACGCCGCGUGAGUGAUGAAGGUCUUCGGAUCGUAAAACUCUGUUAUUAGGGAAGAACAUAUGUGUAAGUAACUGUGCACAUCUUGACGGUACCUAAUCAGAAAGCCACGGCUAACUACGUG